rnacentral:misc_RNA from 1 species
CCGAGUUAUCAACUCCCAAACCCCUGUGAACAUACCUGAACGUUGCCUCGGCGGGACCGCCCCGGCGCCCAACUCGCGGCCCGGACCCAGGCGCCCGCCGGAGGACCCAAACUCUUUCUGUAGUCCCCUCGCGGACGUUAUUUCUUACAGCUCUGAGCAAAAAUUCAAAAUGAAUCA